rnacentral:lncRNA from 1 species
ACUCUUGCCCUGGCCAACAACUUAACUGCAACCUCAAGAGAUACCUACCCUGAGUCAGAACCACCCAGUCAAACUACCCCUGGCAUCUUAACCCAGAGUAACUGCCCCACUGACUGGAGGAUGGCCAUUUGACAACACAUUCUUUCCUGAGGAAACUUUUGACUUCUGGUGACUUGGGCCCCAGGCUGGCUGAAUUUGCCAAGACCCAGCUUUGCCCUUGCAUGUGUGAAAAAUGGCCUCAAGUAUGACUCCAUGGCAAGAUGGAAAGAAACUGUGCUCUUGAAUAGCUUAGAGAUUCAGAGUCCCCCAACCAGCUUGAAACGCCCACCUCAAAACAAUGACAUGAGAAGAAACAAACCUCUAAUUUAAGCCACUGUAUUUUUAAGAG